rnacentral:piRNA from 1 species
UGGACAGUCAGGUGAGGUCUGUGAGGU